CAUACUGUCUUGCACGGGACCGUAGGCGAGGAAUCCUUGCGUGCCAGCGCCUAUCGGGCCCGCUGGCGAGUAACAUCGCACGCGCGCCAGCCACCACUGGCGAGCCAACCCAUAUACAUAGGCCCGUUGUCGAAAAAUCCUCACGUGCUAGCCCCUCAUUCCUUAGGUAGCGCGCCUAUCGGGCUCGUUGGCAACAAAUAUCCCACGCUAGCCCGCAUGCAUGGGCUUGUUGGCAAGUAACAUCGCGUGCCAGCCAGCCCGCCCAUCGGGCUAGUUGGUGAGGAAUCAUUGAGUGCUAGCCCCCUAUUACCGAGGCAGUGUGCCCAUCGGGCCCGUUGGCAAGAAUCCUCACACGCCAGCCAGCCACUUCUGGCGACCCAAUGCACCUGUCGGACCCGUUGGCGAGAAUCCUUGCACACCAGCUAAUGCACCCGUCAGGCCCUCUGGCAAGAAUCCUCACAUGCCAACAUCCACUGCUGGCGAGCGACCCUGCCCGUCUGGCCCGUUGGCAAGAAUACUCGCAUGCUGUGAGCUACUCGGCAAGCACGGACCCGUUGGCCAGGAACCUUAGCCCCCUAGCGCACGUAUUGGCCAGAGUCGUCCUCAAGUAAACCUCCCUUAGGCGAGCAUCCUCACAGACGUGGGCUCAUUGGCUAGGAACUCUCGCAGCCUAGCGCGCGCAUUGGCUAGAACUCUCGCAGGCGCAGGCCCAUUAGCAGUGGAUCCUCGCAGCUCCAUCGUGCGUUGGGUGUGCCAGCCCGCGAGGGCAAGAAUCCUCCGCUGUGAACCUCUUUUGGUGAGAAAUCAGCUGCAGUGUACCUCUGUUGGCUAGUUUUCAAGCCUGUACUGCGGCACUUCGCCACCACCACAUUUAAUGCCUCGGGAAGAGUUAUCUUUUCUAUUUAACAGCCCGCCUACCUUGGAAACGACUCAGUCGGAGGUAGGGUCUAGCGGCUGGAAGAGCACCGCAUGUCGUAUGGUGUCUGGUGGGCCCCCAGCAGCCCAUGAAAAUCUAGAGGACCGAGUGCUAUCCACGCCCAGUCGUACUUAUAACUAUAUCAGGUUUCUAGGGUUAACAGCCUCUGGUCGAUAGAACAAUGUAGGCAAGGGAAGUCGGCAAAAUGGAUCCAUAACCUCGGGAAAAGGAUUGGCUCUAAGGGCUGCGCCCGAGGGUCCCAAUCCCGAACCUGUCGCUUGUCGGCAGACUGCUCGAGCUGCUCUCAAGGCGAAAGCGGGUCGAUACGUGUCGACCGGGGAACGGAUUGGGAACAGCCUCUUCAGAGUCCUUCCCUAGGCGUUGAACAAUCGACUCAGAACUAGUACGGACAAGGGGAAUCUAACUGUUUAAUUAAAACAAAGCAUUGCGCGGAUGCUCACGCAAUGUGAUUUCUGCCCAGUGCUCUGAAUGUCAAAGUGAAGAAAUUCAACCAAGCGCGGGUAAACAGCGGGAGUAACUAUGACUCUCUUAAUGUAGCCAAAUGCCUCGUCAUCUAAUUAGUGAUGCGCAUGAAUGGAUUAACGAGAUUCCCACUGUCCCUGUUUACUAUCCAGCGAAACCACAGACAAGGGAACGGGCUUGGGGGAAUUAGUAAGGAAAGAAGACCCUGUUGAGCUUAACUCUAGUCCGACUUUGUGAAAUUACUUAAGAGGUGUAGGAUAAGUGGGAGCCUUAACCGGUGAUAGUGAAAUACCACUACUUUUAACAUUAUUUUACUUAUUCCAUGAAUCAGAAGUGGGGCUACGACCCUCUUUUUGGACCCAAGUUUGGCUGGGGCGGCAUAUCUGUUAAAAGAUAACGCAAGUGUCCUAAGAUGAGCUCAACGAGAAUAGAAAUCUCGUAUGGAACAAAAGGGUAAAAGCUCGUUUAAUUCUAGUUUCCAGUAUGAAUACAAACCGCAAAAGCAUAGCUUAUUGAUCCUUUAGACCUUUAGAAUUUGAAACUAGAGGUGUCAGAAAAGUUACCACAGGGAUAACUGGCUUGUUCUAGCCAAGCGUUCAUAGCAACGUUGCUUUUUGAUCCUUCGAUGUUGGCUUUUCCUAUCAUUGUGAAGCAGAAUUCACCAAGUGUUGGAUUGUUCACCCACCAAUAGGGAAUAUGAGCUAGGUUUAGACAGUUAUGAGACAGGUUAGUUUUACCCUACUGAUGAUUGUGUUGCAAUGCUAAUUCAACCUAGUACGAGAGGAACAGUUGAUUCGCAUAACUGGUCAUUGCGCUUGGUUGAAAAGCCAGUGGUGCGAAGCUACUGUGCGUUGGAUUAUGACUGAACGGCUCUAAGUCAGAAUCUGGGCCAGAAUCGACGCAUCAUCCAUCGCUCAUUUGCCAACUAGUAGUAGGGGCCCUCCAGCCCCCAAAAGCAUGUUUCAUUGGCUAAGCCCUCACGGUGAACGAGCCGCGCAGGCCGCCUUGAAUUACAAUUUCCAUCGGGCGGCGGACUAAAUCCUUUGCAGAAGACUUAAAUACGUGAUAGGGUAUUGUAAGUGGCAGAGUGGCCUUGCUAUCACAAUCCACUAAGAUUUAGCCCU
rnacentral:rRNA from 1 species